UAACCACAGAGUUUUAUUUACAGAUUGGGAUGAGUAUUAUGCUUGUAAUUAUGACUAUUUUGUAUUUGCAGCAAAGGGUCUACAGGAGUGUUGGUCACCCAUUGAUUAAAGGAUUGAAUCCCCCAUGCUCCAGCCAGAUGGAGAAACCGAGGCAAAGAGGUUAAAGGAUCUGUCCUGAGCCCCAGAGUGUGUUGAUGUCUCUCCCCUCUCCCUAGACAUGUGCACAGACUACUAGACUUCUCUGCUCUGGCUGCAGGUAAGACAUAUUGUACACACAAUGUGAUCAGUUCUUGAAUUGACU
rnacentral:lncRNA from 12 species